rnacentral:rRNA from 1 species
UAAGGAAUAUUGGUCAAUGGACGCAAGUCUGAACCAGCCAUGCCGCGUGAAGGAUUAAGGUCCUCUGGAUUGUAAACUUCUUUUAUAGGGGGCGAAAAAAGGCCUUUCUUGNUCACUUGACAGUACCCUAUGAAUAAGCACCGGCUAACUCCGUGCCAGCAGCCGCGGUAAUACGGAGGGUGCAAGCGUUAUCCGGAUUCACUGGGUUUAAAGGGUGCGUAGGCGGGCAGUUAAGUCAGUGGUGAAAUCCUGGAGCUCAACUCCAGAACUGCCAUUGAUACUAUCUGUCUUGAAUAUGGUGGAGGUAAGCGGAAUAUGUCAUGUAGCGGUGAAAUGCAUAGAUAUGACAUAGAACACCUAUUGCGAAGGCAGCUUACUACGCCUAUAUUGACGCUGAGGCACGAAAGCGUGGGGAUCAAACAGGAUUAGAUACCCUGGUAGUCCACGCCCUAAACGAUGAUUACUCGACGUGUGCGAUACACAGUACGCGUCUGAGCGAAAGCAUUAAGUAAUCCACCUGGGAAGUACGACCGCAAGGUUG